CCCCAAAAAGUUUGUUCUUGGUUCGGAAUUAGUAAGAAGCUUGCUGCUUCGCUGACGAGUGGCGGACGGGUGAGUAAUGUCUGGAAACUGCCUGAUGGAGGGGGAUAACUACUGGAAACGGUGGCUAAUACCGCAUAACGUCGCAAGACCAAAGAGGGGGACCUUCGGGCCUCUUGCCAUCAGAUGUGCCCAGAUGGGAUUAGCUUGUUGGUGAGGUAACGGCUCACCAAGGCGACGAUCCCUAGCUGGUCUGAGAGGAUGACCAGCCACACUGGAACUGAGACACGGUCCAGACUCCUACGGGAGGCAGCAGUGGGGAAUAUUGCACAAUGGGCGCAAGCCUGAUGCAGCCAUGCCGCGUGUAUGAAGAAGCCUUCGGGUUGUAAAGUACUUUCAGCGGGGAGGAAGGUGGUUGUGGUUAAUAACCCAGCAAUUGACGUUACCCGCAGAAGAAGCACCGGCUAACUCCGUGCAGCCGCCGCGGUAAUACGGAGGGUGCAAGCGUUAAUCGGAAUUACUGGGCUAAAGCGCACGCAGGCGGUUGUCAAGUCGGAUGUGAAAUCCCCGGGCUCAACCUGGGAACUGCAUUCGAAACUGGCAGGCUUGAGUCUUGAAGAGGGGGAAAAAUCCGGGGGAACCCCUAAAGUGGAA
rnacentral:rRNA from 1 species